rnacentral:rRNA from 1 species
UGAAAUCUGGCUCUAGGGCCCGAGUUGUAAUUUGUAGAGGAUGCUUUUGGUGCGGUGCCUUCCAAGUGCCCUGGAAUGGGACGCCACAGAGGGUGAGAGCCCCGUCUGGUUGGAUGCCAAACCUCUGUAAAGCUCCUUCGACGAGUCGAGUAGUUUGGGAAUGCUGCUCUAAAUGGGAGGUAUAUGUCUUCUAAAGCUAAAUACCGGCCAGAGACCGAUAGCGCACAAGUAGAGUGAUCGAAAGAUGAAAAGCACUUUGAAAAGAGAGUUAAAAAGUACGUGAAAUUGUUGAAAGGGAAGCGUUUAUGACCAGACUUGGGCUUGGUUAAUCAUCCAGGGUUCUCCCUGGUGCACUUUUCCAGUCCAGGCCAGCAUCAGUUCGUCUCGGGGGAUAAAGGCUUCGGGAAUGUGGCUCUCUCCGGGGAGUGUU